rnacentral:rRNA from 1 species
GAUGAACGCUGGCGGCGUGCCUAAUACAUGCAAGUCGAGCGAACGGACGAGAAGCUUGCUUCUCUGAUGUUAGCGGCGGACGGGUGAGUAACACGUGGAGAACCUACCUAUAAGACUGGGAUAACUUCGGGAAACCGGAGCUAAUACCGGAUAAUAUUUUGAACCGCAUGGUUCAAAAGUGAAAGACGGUCUUGCUGUCACUUAUAGAUGGAUCCGCGCUGCAUUAGCUAGUUGGUAAGGUAACGGCUUACAAAGGCAACGAUGCAUAGCCGACCUGAGAGGGUGGACGGACACACUAGAACUGAGACACGGUCCAGACUCCUACGGGAGGCAGCGAUAGGGAAUCUUCCGCAAUGGAGGAAAGCCUAACAGAGCACCGCCGCGUGAGUGAUGAAGGUCUUAGGAUCGUAAAACUCUGUUAUUAGGGAAGAACAUAUGUGUAAGUAACUGUGCACAACUUGACGGUACCUAAUCAGAAAGCCACGGCUAACUACGUG